UAAAUAGGUGACAUAACAUGUACAGGAAGUCUGCAUAAGAGUGUUGCAUGCAGAAGAAAACAGGUGAUUUUGAACAUUCUUCUCUAUUUUGACGUGUGUUUUCGACUUCUUCAUGGCAGAUGAAUUCUAAAAUGGGAAUGGCAUUUCUACCUGCACUUAAGGAAAUGGAAUACCUUUUGGAGUUUCAAAUGUGUAUACAUCUUGCCUUGGAUUAUAUUUGUGUUCUUUUCAUGGAGAAUGUGUUUUGUUACGGAUAACGGUCAAAGAAGGAUAACUCUAAACUAGAAACAUGACUUCAUCACUCACUGAGGCACCACGGGAACUUCCAGGAGGUGACGUAGGACCAGACCCACACAGCGUCCAGGGCAGUAGAAAUCACUCAAGAAUACAUGGAUGGAAUCUAUAAACAUUUAUUUCUUUGUUCUGAAAUAAAAUAUUGAAGCUAACGUUGAAGAGUGAAUGAUUGUCGGAUAGUUAAUAACAAUUAACAAUGCAAAGACUCAUUUACAACGUCAUCCAUCGUUCUUCUUUUACAACGAAAUGCGUUACUGCUCUUGCAACUCUCAACAGCGUAACAGUGUGUAAAUAUAACCUAUUGAAGCGGUGCAACUGGCGUAUUGUCUGACCUACUUGGCAAGGAAUUAUUUCAACAGAUGAAGUAACACUCCUUUCCUGCCUAAUUGGAUACUUUGGAAAACAGCACACAACAACAAUGUAACAGUGUGCAUUAAAAACGUGUUGUGGUAGUAAAAAAAUUGUCGAUAUUGCUUCGGCAGGAUUUUGAAUUUCAAAGAUACGGACAUACGGUUAAAUCAAGACAUUUCCGACAUCAACAAUACCGUUGUUAACGAUAUUAAUGAAAAAAAUGGAUAUUGUUGUUUAAAAAUGGUUUCUGUAGAUGGAAAAUUAAGUACUUUACUAGUAAACCUCAUUUAGUUUUUUGAACCUCAUCUAAUAUAUUCAUGUGCAUGCUUACUUAACUUCAACUCACUAUCUCAAAAUUAUAAUUCACAGAUAUUGUAUGUUCAAUAAAUAUGAUAAAGAAUAUAUUCACCAAGAGCUCACAAAUACCAGGAGAAAAUCGGUACUUCUGUACGCUAACUUGACCAGACAAUUUCAUGCCGUGUUGGACUCGCACCUGUGGAACGAGGCGAUGAUUUAAUCAAGGAUCCGAGUGUUAUUGGCUAGACUAAGACAUGCGUAAUUACGAUGUCCAGGUGGAGUCAUAAACACCCCGUAAAACUGACCACAGUCGUCGUUAGAGGAAACCGAUCACCUGGUCCGACGGGUCGUAAUAAAUUGGUCUCCCUCGGGAGGGAAUGGUUGCCAAAAUAGUGUAAUAUAAAACACAUGGAAACCGAAACAACUAGAACAACUAGGAUAUUUUAUUCGAUGUUUGAAUUUGUUUCCUUUACAAACCAAUAUUUAAGAUUGAUUGAUGUCAAGUAUAAUAUAUAAGAGAGUAUAGACUGUAUUAAGUUACCUGUAGAAAGUUUGACAUACUUAUGACUUAUGACCUAACGCAGAUUUUUUUUAUUAUUGUAUUAUGAAGAUGCAUAUGUUUUAAUUUGGUCAAACGAAAUGGUAAAAAUUUGAUGGAAUGAUGUGAGAUUUUAUCAGUAAUUGAAUUGUGUUUUUCCUUAAUCAUUAAUUGAUAAAAUCAUCUUGAAAUAUCAAUUGUAAUAACUUGUCAUAACAUUUUGGUGAUAGUCGUAUUUCUUCAAUAAAAUGGUGUCAAUCUUUUUGGAUUA